ensembl:rRNA 5S_rRNA 5S ribosomal RNA
GCUUACAGCCAUACCACAUUGAGCACAGCCGAUCUCGUACGAUCUCAGAAGCUAAGCAGUGCUGCGCCUGGUUAGUACUUGGAUGGGAGACCAACUGGGAACACCAGGUGCUGUAAACU